rnacentral:rRNA from 1 species
AAGGCUUGACAUACACCGGUAACGCCCAGAGAUGGGUGCCCCCUUGUGGUCGGUGGACAGGUGGUGCAUGGUUGUCGUCAGCUCGUGUCGUGAGAUGUUGGGUUAAGUCCCGCAACGAGCGCAACCCUCGUCCUAUGUUGCCAGCGGGUCAUGCCGGGGACUCAUGGGAGACUGCCGGGGUCAACUCGGAGGAAGUGGGAUGACGUCAAAUCAUCAUGCCCCUUAUGUCUUGGGCUUCACGCAUGCUACAAUGGCCGGUACAAAGGGCUGCGAUACCGCGAGGUGGAGCGAAUCCCAGAAAGCCGGUCUCAGUUCGGAUUGGGGUCUGCAACUCGACCCCAUGAAGUCGGAGUCGCUAGUAAUCGCAGAUCAGCAACGCUGCGGUGAAUACGUUCCCGGGCCUU